GGGGCUGAUUCUGGAUUCGACGGGAUUUGCGAAACCCAAGGUGCAUGCCGAGGGGCGGUUGGCCUCGUAAAAAGCCGCAAAAAAAUAGUCGCAAACGACGAAAACUACGCUUUAGCAGCUUAAUAACCUGCUCUGAGCCCUCUCUCCCUACGGGUUCAACUCCCGCCAGCUCCACCA
rnacentral:tmRNA from 1 species